CUUAUGCAAAACUGUUACUGAAGCUCUUCUGUAUAAAUGUAGAGUAAAAGAGAGACAGUCUGGACUCUGAUCUGAACAGUUUCACACACACAUCAUGUUCCUCAGCUCUUUACUGCUGCUGCUGAUUGCAGAAUGUGUUCACUCUCAGGUUGUUCUCACACAGUCUGAACAGUCAGUAGCAGUGGCUCCAGGAGGAUCCCACAAACUCACCUGUAGCUGCAGUGGAUUCACUGUGAGGAGCACUUACAUGCACUGGGUCAGACAGGCUCCUGGUAAAGGACUGGAAUGGAUUAUUUAUUAUUAUUCUGACACAAAUAAAAGCUCAGCCCAGGCAGUGCAGGGCAGAUUCACAGCAUCCAAGGACAGCUCCAACUUCUACCUGCACAUGACUCAACUGAAGCCUGAAGAUACUGCAGUGUAUUACUGUGCUAGAGACUCACUGUGGUGGAACUCAUACAGACAGCUGUACAAAAACUAG